rnacentral:rRNA from 1 species
AUUGAACGCUGGCGGCAUGCCUUACACAUGCAAGUCGAACGGUAACGCGGGGCAACCUGGCGACGAGUGGCGAACGGGUGAGUAAUGCAUCGGAACGUGCCCAGUAGUGGGGGAUAGCCCGGCGAAAGCCGGAUUAAUACCGCAUACGACCUACGGGUGAAAGGGGGGGAUCGCAAGACCUCUCGCUAUUGGAGCGGCCGAUGGCAGAUUAGGUAGUUGGUGGGGUAAAGGCCCACCAAGCCUGCGAUCUGUAGCUGGUCUGAGAGGACGACCAGCCACACUGGGACUGAGACACGGCCCAGACUCCUACGGGAGGCAGCAGUGGGGAAUUUUGGACAAUGGGCGCAAGCCUGAUCCAGCCAUGCCGCGUGCGGGAAGAAGGCCUUCGGGUUGUAAACCGCUUUUGUCAGGGAAGAAACGCUCUGGGCUAAUACCUCGGGGUAAUGACGGUACCUGAAGAAUAAGCACCGGCUAACUACGUGCCAGCCGCCGCAGUAA